CAGUCGCCGCGGUAAUACGGAGGGUGCAAGCGUUAAUCGGAAUUACUGGGCGUAAAGCGCACGCAGGCGGUCUGACAAGUCAGAUGUGAAAUCCCCGGGCUUAACCUGGGAACUGCAUUUGAAACUGUCAGGCUGGAGUCUUGUAGAGGGGGGUGGAAUUCCAGGUGUAGCGGUGAAAUGCGUAGAGAUCUGGAGGAAUACCGGUGGCGAAGGCGGCCCCCUGGACAAAGACUGACGCUUAGGUGCGAAAGCGUGGGGAGCAAACAGGAUUAGAUACCCGUGUAGUCCCUGUCUCUUAUAC
rnacentral:rRNA from 1 species